rnacentral:rRNA from 1 species
UCAUGGCUCAGGACGAACGCUGGCGGCGUGCUUAACACAUGCAAGUCGAACGGUAAGGCCCCAGCUUGCUGGGGUACACGAGUGGCGAACGGGUGAGUAACACGUGGGUGACCUGCCCCGCACUUCGGGAUAAGCCUGGGAAACUGGGUCUAAUACCGGAUAGAACCGCACCGUGAGGGUGUGGUGGAAAGUUUUUCGGUGUGGGAUGGGCCCGCGGCCUAUCAGCUUGUUGGUGGGGUAAUGGCCUACCAAGGCGGCGACGGGUAGCCGGCCUGAGAGGGUGGACGGCCACAUUGGGACUGAGACACGGCCCAGACUCCUACGGGAGGCAGCAGUGGGGAAUAUUGCACAAUGGGCGGAAGCCUGAUGCAGCGACGCCGCGUGGGGGAUGACGGCCUUCGGGUUGUAAACUCCUUUCACCAUCGACGAAGGUUUUCUGACGGUAGAUGGAGAAGAAGCACCGGCUAACUACGUGCCAGCAGCCGCGGUAAUACGUAGGGUGCGAGCGUUGUCCGGAAUUACUGGGCGUAAAGAGCUCGUAGGUGGUUUGUCGCGUCGUCUGUGAAAUUCCGGGGCUUAACUCCGGGCGUGCAGGCGAUACGGGCAUAACUUGAGUACUGUAGGGGAGACUGGAAUUCCUGGUGUAGCGGUGAAAUGCGCAGAUAUCAGGAGGAACACCGGUGGCGAAGGCGGGUCUCUGGGCAGUAACUGACGCUGAGGAGCGAAAGCAUGGGUAGCGAACAGGAUUAGAUACCCUGGUAGUCCAUGCCGUAAACGGUGGGCGCUAGGUGUAGGGGUCUUCCACGACUUCUGUGCCGUAGCUAACGCAUUAAGCGCCCCGCCUGGGGAGUACGGCCGCAAGGCUAAAACUCAAAGGAAUUGACGGGGGCCC